UACGUAGGGGGCAAGCGUUGUCCGGAUUUACUGGGCGUAAAGAGCGUGUAGGCGGCCAUGCAGGUCCGUUGUGAAAACUGGAGGCUUAACCUCCAGACGUCGACGGAAACCGCGUGGCUAGAGUCCGGAAGAGGAAAGUGGAAUUCCUGGUGUAGCGGUGAAAUGCGCAGAUAUCAGGAAGAACACCAAUGGCGAAAGCAGCUUUCUGGGACGGUACUGACGCUGAGACGCGAAAGCGUGGGGAGCGAACAGG
rnacentral:rRNA from 1 species